rnacentral:ncRNA from 1 species
ACAAACAAGAGUUUGAUCCUGGCUCAGAAUGAACGCUAGCAACAGGCUUAACACAUGCAAGUGGAACGAGCAUGUGAAGAUUUUCAUCUGCAAGUCGCAAACGGGUGAGUAACACGUGAGAAUCUACCUAGCAAUUCGGCAUAUCUCUAAGUAUUAUGCGCUCUUAGUGAACAUACUAAAGAGUCUCGCUUAUAUGCUUAAAAUACCGAAGAAAAAGAUGUACUUUUGUUUUCUGCAUACCUGCAUUCAGGCGGCCUAGAUCCAGCAAAAGAAAAAUGUUCAAAAGCGCGAAGCUGCUUCGCAUGUAACCGCGUACGCGGUUGUAGCGCGAUAUGAAGAAGAGAAGAAAGAACACAAAAAAGGCAAAGUCCCGUGUUAGAUGAGCUCGCGCAAGA